rnacentral:rRNA from 1 species
ACAGAGGGUGCGAGCGUUAAUCGGAAUUACUGGGCGUAAAGCGUGCGUAGGCGGUAUAGUAAGUCAGAUGUGAAAGCCCUGGGCUCAACCUGGGAACUGCAUUUGAAACUACUGAACUAGAGUGUGGUAGAGGAAAGUGGAAUUCAGGGUGUAGCGGUGAAAUGCGUAGAUAUCCUGAGGAACACCAGUGGCGAAGGCGACUUUCUGGACCAACACUGACGCUGAGGCACGAAAGCGUGGGUAGCAAACAGG